AGCAGCUCUUUAAGGGCAUCUCCAGAGCAACCCUCCCAUCUAAGAGCUUCCUCUCAUCAUGCCCUGCCCAGCCCAUUAUGCUCAUUUUAUGAGUCCUGCCAUCCACCGAACAAGCUGGAGCCCCGAUCAAAGGUUGAUGACGGGAAGCAGGAAAUGAAGCCACAACACCUACAAAAGUCACACAUCUGAUCUGGGACUGUUUCAGAGGGGAUGUUUAAAGCAGCAGUGUGACGACUGUCAGCCUCUUUCGUCUCCAUCUGAGCCCUUUAAAUGUUCAGGAACCAGAGCUAAAUUACAUAGAUUGUUAUUAAAGAUUCUUUUUCUUGCUGUUAAACUCUGUUUUUGUGUCUCACUCUAGGAAAAUGCACAUCUUUUUCCCUCUGGUCCUCUUCAUAGGUUCCACAUCUGGCAAAAAGCAAGGAGACUUUGGCAUUUUCUCAGCCUGCGUCCUCAACAACAGUCUCAGGUUGAGGUGCCAUUAUGCAGACUGUCAGGACUCCCCCCCCUAUGAUUGUGACUUCUUCACAUCUAAAGGGUCCAAGAUAUCCACAGAGCCUGACAGGAAGUGUCGGAUUGUUCUUCCAAAUCACCCUGUGCUGUACAGCAACACAACCACGAGCUACAACUGCACGCUGACGCGCCGGAACCGGAAUGAAUCCAAACACAUCACCAUCGACUACAGCAUACGCCAAGGAAAGCAACGCAUCAGGGACUGUACGAGCGCUUCCUGCUUCCUGCUGCACCCAGCUCCAGACCUGCUGUGGCCUGCUGUGGUCCUGUCUCUGUGGGGGGUCCUCCUCACAGACGGGCAGCCAACAUGAGCCAGAGCUUCUCCAAAACGAGCAUCUAUGCAUUCAAAUAUACAUUUGCACUUUUAAGUUGUCUAUAAAAGGGUUUGUUGAAACAAGGACAACGGUGUGUUUUUGACUCAUCUCGGACUUUUUUCCACUGGGGCACAACUAAAGUUCCUGGGACCAUCUGAAAGUUCUGGUCACUAAUUAGAAUAGAUAAGAACGAUGAGAGGAUGUACGUUUCCAAAUAAAUGCUUCUAUAUCUACAGACAGCAGACGAGAAACCUCAGCAAAAAUAUGAG
rnacentral:lncRNA from 1 species